GGCCUGCUGGCACAAAGGUAGCGUAUCUGACUCCAGAUCAGAAGGUUGUGCGCUCAAAUCAUGUCGAGGUCA
rnacentral:tRNA from 1 species